GAUGAACGCUGGCGGCGUGCCUAAUACAUGCAAGUCGAGCGAACGGACGAGAAGCUUGCUUCUCUGAUGUUAGCGGCGGACGGGUGAGUAACACGUGGAUAACCUACCUAUAAGACUGGGAUAACUUCGGGAAACCGGAGCUAAUACCGGAUAAUAUUUUGAACCGCAUGGUUCAAAAGUGAAAGACGGUCUUGCUGUCACUUAUAGAUGGAUCCGCGCUGCAUUAGCUAGUUGGUAAGGUAACGGCUUACCAAGGCAACGAUGCAUAGCCGACCUGAGAGGGUGAUCGGCCACACUUGAACUGCGACACGGUCCAGACUCCUACGGGAGGCAGCAGUAGGGAAUCUUCCGCAAUGGGCGAAAGCCUGACGGAGCAACGCCGCGUGAGUGAUGAAGGUCUUCGGAUCGUAAAACUCUGUUAUUAGGGAAGAACAUAUGUGUAAGUAACUGUGCACAUCUUGACGGUACCUAAUCAGAAAGCCACGGCUAACUACGUG
rnacentral:rRNA from 1 species